CAUAACGUCGCAAGACCAAAGAGGGGGACCUUCGGGCCUCUUGCCAUCGGAUGUGCCCAGAUGGGAUUAGCUAGUAGGUGGGGUAACGGCUCACCUAGGCGACGAUCCCUAGCUGGUCUGAGAGGAUGACCAGCCACACUGGAACUGAGACACGGUCCAGACUCCUACGGGAGGCAGCAGUGGGGAAUAUUGCACAAUGGGCGCAAGCCUGAUGCAGCCAUGCCGCGUGUAUGAAGAAGGCCUUCGGGUUGUAAAGUACUUUCAGCGGGGAGGAAGGGAGUAAAGUUAAUACCUUUGCUCAUUGACGUUACCCGCAGAAGAAGCACCGGCUAACUCCGUGCCAGCAGCCGCGGUAAUACGGAGGGUGCAAGCGUUAAUCGGAAUUACUGGGCGUAAAGCGCACGCAGGCGGUUUGUUAAGUCAGAUGUGAAAUCCCCGGGCUCAACCUGGGAACUGCAUCUGAUACUGGCAAGCUUGAGUCUCGUAAAGGGGGGUAGAAUUCCAGGUGUAGCGGU
rnacentral:rRNA from 1 species